rnacentral:tRNA from 1 species
UCGCUGGUGGUCCAGUGGCUAAGACUCCAUGCCUCCAAUGCAGGGGGACCAGGUUCGAUCCCUGGCCAGGGAA